UACGUAGGGUGCGAGCGUUAAUCGGAAUUACUGGGCGUAAAGCGUGCGCAGGCGGUCUGUUAAGACAGAUGUGAAAUCCCCGGGCUUAACCUGGGAACCGCAUUUGUGACUGCAUAGCUGGAGUACGGCAGAGGGGGGAUGGAAUUCCGCGUGUAGCAGUGAAAUGCGUAGAUAUCGAGAGGAACACCAGUGGCGAAGGCGAGUCCCUGGACAACACCUGACACUGAGGCACGAAAGCUAGGGGAGCAAACAGG
rnacentral:rRNA from 1 species